AACGAACGCUGGCGGCAUGCCUUACACAUGCAAGUCGAACGAGAAGGCUCUUCGGAGUGAGUAGAGUGGCGCACGGGUGAGUAACACGUAGGUGACCUGCCUUUUGGAGGGGGAUAACCAGAAGAAAUUCUGGCUAAUACCGCAUAAGCUGUACGAAUUUGAAAGUAGUACAGGAAAGGAUGCUUCGGCAUGUACCGAAAGAUGGGCCUGCGGGACAUUAGCUUGAUGGUGGGGUAACGGCCUACCAUGGCGACGAUGUCUAGCUGGUUUGAGAGAAUGAUCAGCCACACUGGAACUGAGACACGGUCCAG
rnacentral:rRNA from 1 species